rnacentral:lncRNA from 1 species
UUCAUUCCCUCAUUUCUCACCCAUAGAACCGUCCCCUCCCUCUCUCUCUUCUCUCCCAAUUUUCUUCAUCAUCCUCCAUUGAUGAUCAUAUACAAAGCUUCAUAGAUCAUUUCUAUACCAUAAGCUUCCAUUAAAACAAGCUCUAAACAUCUAUACACUUCAAAUCAAGAGCAACUAUGGAAGGUUUUUAAAGCUUGAAGUCAAGAGGAGAUUUUCAUUUUCUACUCAAAAAUCAUUGA